GGGAAGCAGGCAGUCCCCUCUUCGGAGGGAAUGCGUGUGGAACGAGCGGCGGACGGGUGAGUAACACGUGGGCAACCUGCCCUGAGGUCUGGGAUAACCCCGGGAAACCGGGGCUAAUACCGGAUAGGCCCAUCGACCGCCUGGUCGAUGGGUAAAAGCGGGGAUUUUCCUCGCGCCCCAGGAUGGGCCCGCGGCGCAUUAGCUGGUUGGUGAGGUCACGGCUUACCAAGGCAACGAUGCGUAGCCGACCUGAGAGGGUGAUCGGCCACACUGGGACUGAGACACGGCCCAGACUCCUACGGGAGGCAGCAGUAGGGAAUCAUCCGCAAUGGGCGAAAGCCUGACGGUGCAACGCCGCGUGAGUGAAGAAGGUUUUCGGAUCGUAAAGCUCUGUUAUCCGAGAAGAACAAGUGCCGGUCGAAGAGGCCGGCGCCAUGACGGUACCGGAUCAGAAAGCCCCGGCUAACUACGUGCCAGCAGCCGCGGUAAUACGUAGGGGGCAAGCGUUGUCCGGAAUUAUUGGGCGUAAAGGGCGCGCAGGCGGUUUCCUAAGUCUGAUGUGAAAGGCCACGGCUCAACCGUGGAAUGGCAUUGGAAACUGGGGGACUUGAGUACAGGAGAGGAGAGUGGAAUUCCACGUGUAGCGGUGAAAUGCGUAGAGAUGUGGAGGAACACCAGUGGCGAAGGCGGCUCUCUGGCCUGUAACUGACGCUGAGGCGCGAAAGCGUGGGGAGCGAACAGGAUUAGAUACCCUGGUAGUCCACGCCGUAAACGUUGAGUGCUAGGUGUUA
rnacentral:rRNA from 1 species